rnacentral:rRNA from 1 species
UACGUAGGUGGCAAGCGUUGUCCGGAUUUACUGGGCGUAAAGAGCGCGCAGGCGGCCAAGUCAGUCGAAUGUGAAAGCCCCCGGCUCAACUGGGGAAAGUCAUUCGAUACUGCUCGGCUUGAAGAUAGGAGAGGGAAGCGGAAUUUCAGGUGUAGUGGUGAAAUGCGUAGAUAUCUGAAGGAACACCAGUGGCGAAGGCGGCUUUCUGGCCUAUUCGUGACUCUGAGGCGCGAAAGCUAGGGGAGCGAACGGG